GGAAUAUUGCGCAAUGGGGGAAACCCUGACGCAGCGACGCCGCGUGAGUGAGGAAGGCCUUCGGGUCGUAAAGCUCUGUCAGAUGGGAAGAAGUGUAGCGUAGCUAAUACCUGCGUUAUUUGACGGUACCAUCAAAGGAAGCACCGGCUAACUCCGUGCCAGCAGCCGCGGUAAUACGGAGGGUGCAAGCGUUGUUCGGAAUCACUGGGCGUAAAGGGCGCGCAGGCGGUUUUGUAAGUCAGAUGUGAAAGCCCACGGCUCAACCGUGGAAGUGCAUUUGAAACUGCAGAACUUGAGUAUCAGAGGGGAAAGUGGAAUUCCCGGUGUAGAGGUGAAAUUCGUAGAUAUCGGGAGGAAUACCGGUGGCGAAGGCGACUUUCUGGCUGAAUACUGACGCUGAGGCGCGAAAGCGUGGGGAGCAAACAGGAUUA
rnacentral:rRNA from 1 species